rnacentral:rRNA from 1 species
UGUCUCCCCCCUCUAAUCAGUGAAACUGAUCUCCCCGUGAAGAAGCGGGGAUAUACAUAUAAGACGAGAAGACCCCAUGGAGCUUUAAACCUGACAGCACCCGCUCAUUCUAUACCCCAUUAUUUGCCCGACCCCUGUCUGCUCAGUUUUAGGUUGGGGUGACCACGGAGUAUAAAAUAACCUCCAUGAAGAAGGGGAUAUUUCCCUUAUUAGAGAACCACACUUCCAAGAACUAAUAAAUUAAUUUUCAAUGACCCGAUACCCGAUAAUCGAUCAACGAACCAAGUUACCCUGGGGAUAACAGCGCAAUCCACCCUGAAAGCCCUUAUUAACAGGUGGGUUUACGACCUCGAUGUUGGAUCAGGGUAUCCCAGUGGUGCAGCAGCUACUGAGGGUUCGUUUGUUCAACGAUUAAAACCCU